AGUUUACCCAUUGAUCCAAGCUUCAAGCAUUUUGUUUCAAUAAAGAAAGCCAUUGCCACCCUUUGCUUAUGGUUAUGGUUUUUAUAGUAAUUUUAUGCAAUUACAAUAAGGCCGUAAACAUGGUACGCAUGUAUCUCCUGAUUCCCCCAAUAUUCAGAUAUUAUCAGAUAAUUCAUUAUUAUUAUUCACUUUAUAUUUUGUUAUUCUUUGGCAACCAGUGGAUUACCGUCCGAAUUAAUCCAUAAUUAUCAUUUACACUCAAUAAGUGUUACAAUGAAUAAGCAACACAUUAACGUCGCCUAUUCGUUCGUCUAAAGCAAUGUUGCCCGAUAGUAUGCUGGUUUUCAUUAAAAACCAAUCACUUCACCUGCUGAGUUUACUCAUGAACACACCUGCAACUAGAGGGGGGACUAAUUAAUCGGGAGGUAUUGGUUUGGUUGGAAAAACGCGCACAGGCUACUCUCGGCCCUCCAUGGCACAUGAUUGCGCACCACUGGUCUAACGGGAACACAAAUGAAUUAAUUUGUUGUUGUUGGGGCACUGUCAGUGGCACACCACCCACGCAAAACGGUGCGCGACCCUCUGUGGGAAACUUUUUUUUUUUUUUUAAAGAUAAAGUUUGUGACAAUUUAAGUUGGUAAUAGUUUUCUUACUCACCAUCACGUUUGCUGUGGAGGGUGCAGAGCAAAGAGGGAGAGAGAACAGGAGGAUGAUGAUGGCAGAAGGAGACAGGUGUCAUGCUGGUCAGAGAGGGAGAGAGAGAGUACAGGAGGAGGUGACAGAGGUGAGUGAGAAAGGAGACACUAAAAGUUAAAGGAGGUAGUCACACAAAAUUACAUGAUUGUCUCUUACCAUGAAAGUAACUAAGGCCCAAAGGAACUGGAAUCUAUGGGAUUGUCAAUAACAGCUGCCAGAUAUUCCCAGCUUCCUACAAAAGUCUUAUCUUUGAAUUACAUGGUCAAACUAUCUAAAUUGGGUUUGACAUGAUAGCACAGUCAUAUACUGGGACAUAGCCAAAGGAAAUAGACAUUUCCUUUGUUAUUUUGAUAAGUCAUGUUAUUUUUAAAUCAUACUGUUUAAAAAAAAAAAAAAAAAUACAGUAUAUAUGCAAAUAAACUAUUCACUGAACCAUGGACUCUAUUGUUGGGGGAGAAAACAGGCCCGGCCUGGGCCAGAAACCCCAGGGUCGCUCUCUUCCACACUGUUGAAUACUUCUUCAAAAUUAUGCACAGUCCACAGAGUCUGAUGUAACUGGGUUUAUUGUAAGUGACUCCGAGAUUACAUACAAGAACCUGGGCUGAUCUGCGCAGUUCAAUACAAACAACAGUCAGUCAGAAAACAAAGACAAUACAGCCAAUCGUUCCCCAAAACACUCUAAAAUCCCCGGGGGCUGAGCACUUUUUAUCCACUUGUGUUAGCCCCUCCUGUUGUGGAGCUUAAACUUGGUACUUCCCACUCAUUUUCUUUGUUUCUCAGGUCUUAUUCUUGACACCAUUAUCUCCCAGUUCUCAGACACCAUUAUUUCUGAGCCCCCUCCUUUCUUUAUUUAAAAAAAUAGGUACUCCCUUCUCCCAUCUAAAUCUCCCUCCCCUUUCCAUUACAAAUCAUGUAUUCAGCCCACCACCUUCCUGCUGGAUUUUUACCUCUCACAACACUUUUGUGUGAAAGGCAUAGUUUGCGUAACAGAAGCUGUGUUCACAUUACAAAUAGGUUUUCACUGCAUGUGUUUGGUGUGUAGUGCUUACUGCUACAGACCAUUAAUCUUAUGGCCCAGGUCCACCUUCGUCAGCUCUGGGUGCACUUCCUUUGCUAGUCAUCACGGGGGUGGUGCCUGGCACGUCUGAAAUACAUUUCUUUCCCUCAUACAUUGGGCUAGUGCUCUUUGAAUACAUUUCUU